AACACACUUCCUUAGAUCCACUUCCAGAAUGUAUUCACUUUAUGUGAUGUCACUCAACAGCUUUUUGCUGCCUUAUUGGAAGUGCUUGAGUCAUUGGUGUGUCACAUAAAUACACCCCCAUAUGUUUGUCUUAAAGCUGUGUCUGUGUAUUGUCCUUGGUGUUUUAUAUACUUUGAAUGAUUGAAAUUGUUAGACUCAUAUGUCAGACAGCAUUGGGGACAAU